UUGGUAUUUAGGCCGAGAAUCGGACGGCCACCUAAGAAUCUCUCCCCAGGGACGAAAACCACUACUGCAGCAAGCCCAACUUCAUCAUAUGGAGCGAAGACCACACGUGCAGGAAGCCCAACUUCAUACGGCAGGGUGCCUAGGAAUUUCUACCCAGUAGCAAAGACUCCAAGUGCAGCAAGUCCAACCUCAUCUGGCAGGGUGCCUAAGAAUUUCUCCCCAUGAUCGAAGCCUACAAGUGCAGGAAGAAUUACAAGAAAGGACAAUGGCUUGCACAAGUUGGUUUUCAUGAGUGGCAUUCUGCCAGAGGGCACAGAUGUCGGCUAUUAUGUCGGGGGAAAGAGGUUGCUGGAUGGCUACAUAAAGGAACUUGGAAUCUAUUGUAAUUGCUGCAAUACA